GGGGUUAAAAGGGAGUCGGGGUCCGCGAGACAGGCCCAUCGGCGUGGGGACACGUAGCUGGUGGGAUUGCGCCAUGGCCUGGACCCCUCUCCUCCUGGCGGUGCUCGCCCAUGUCUCAGGUUCCCUGGUCCAGGCAGCGCUGACUCAGCAGCCGACCGAUUUGUCAGUGGAUGUGGGAAAAACCGUCAGCAUCACCUGUUCCGGUGCUAGCGGCAGCUAUGGCUGGUACCAGCAGAAGGUCCCUGGCACUGCCCCUGUCACUGUGAUCUACUGGAACGACAAGAGACCCUCGGGCAUCCCUCCGCGAUUCUCCGGAUCCAAGUCUGGCUCCACGGGCACGUUAACCAUCACUGGGGUCCAAGCCGAGGACGAGGCCGUCUAUUUCUGUGGUGGCUACGACAGCAGCUACAAUGCUGUAUUCGGGCCCGGGACCAUGUUGACCGUCCUGAGUGAGUAG